UACGUAGGGUGCAAGCGUUUGUCCGGAAUUAUUGGGCGUAAAGCGCGUGUAGGCGGUUCGGUAAGUCUGCUGUGAAAGUCCAGGGCUCAACCCUGGGAUGCCGGUGGAUACUGUCGGACUAGGAGUACGGAAGAGGCGAGUGGAAUUCCCCGGUGUAGCGGUGAAAUGCGCAGAUAUCGGGAGGAACACCAAUUGCGAAGGCAGCUCGCUGG
rnacentral:rRNA from 1 species